AUUGAACGCUGGCGGCAUGCUUUACACAUGCAAGUCGAACGGCAGCACGGGUGCUUGCACCUGGUGGCGAGUGGCGAACGGGUGAGUAAUGCACCGGAACGUAUCCAAUAAUGGGGGAUAACGCAGCGAAAGCUGUGCUAAUACCGCAUACGCCCUGAGGGGGAAAGCGGGGGAUCGCAAGACCUCGCGUUAAUGGAGCGGCCGAUGCCGGAUUAGCUAGUUGGUGGGGUAAAGGCUCACCAAGGCGACGAUCCGUAGCUGGUCUGAGAGGACGACCAGCCACACUGGGACUGAGACACGGACCAGACUCCUACGGGAGGCAGCAGUGGGGAAUUUUGGACAAUGGGCGCAAGCCUGAUCCAGCCAUGCCGCGUGAGUGAAGAAGGCCUUCGGGUUGUAAAGCUCUUUCGCAAGGAAAGAAAACUUAGCCACUAAUACUGGCUGAGGAUGACGGUACCUUGAUAAGAAGCACCGGCUAACUACGUGCCAGCAGCCGCGGUAA
rnacentral:rRNA from 1 species